rnacentral:sRNA from 1 species
UGACAAAAUUUAUGUUCUUGGCCUUAAG